UACGUAGGGAGCGAGCGUUGUCCGGAUUUAUUGGGCGUAAAGAGCUCGUAGGCGGUUCGAUAAGUCGGACGUGAAAUCUCCACGCUCAACGUGGAGGGGCCGUUCGAUACUGUCGUGACUCGAGUCCGGUAGGGGAGUGUGGAAUUCCCGGUGUAGCGGUGAAAUGCGCAGAGAUCGGGAGGAACACCCGUAGCGAAGGCGGCACUCUGGGCCGGUACUGACGCUGAGGAGCGAAAGCGUGGGGAGCAAACAGG
rnacentral:rRNA from 1 species